UACGUAGGGUCCGAGCGUUGUUCGGAAUUACUGGGCGUAAAGCGCACGUAGGCGGCUUUGUAAGUUAGAGGUGAAAGCCCAGGGCUUAACCCUGGAAUUGCCUUUAAGACUGCAUCGCUAGAAUCGUGGAGAGGUGAGUGGAAUUCCGAGUGUAGAGGUGAAAUUCGUAGAUAUUCGGAAGAACACCAGUGGCGAAGGCGACUCACUGGACACGUAUUGACGCUGAGGUGCGAAAGCGUGGGGAGCAAACAGG
rnacentral:rRNA from 1 species